rnacentral:misc_RNA from 1 species
UGGUUCUGGCAUCGAUGAAGAACGCAGCGAAAUGCGAUAAGUAAUGUGAAUUGCAGAAUUCAGUGAAUCAUCGAAUCUUUGAACGCACAUUGCGCCCGCCAGCACUCUGGCGGGCAUGCCUGUUCGAGCGUCAUUUCAACCCUCGGGCCCAUCUGGGCGCGGCGUUGGGGGACGGCUACGGCGCCUUCGGGAGCCCGCCGCCCCUGAAAUACAGUGGCGGUCACGCUGCAGCACCCUCUGCGUAGUAGAAACACCUCGCUCUGGGACGCGGCGCGGCCAUGCCGUAAAACACCCAACUUUCUGAACGUUGACCUCGGAUCAGGUAGGAAUACCCGCUGA